rnacentral:rRNA from 1 species
GGCAUGCCUGCAGCUAACACAUGCAAGUCGAGCGGUAGCACAAGAGAGCUUGCUCUCUGGGUGACGAGCGGCGGACGGGUGAGUAAUGUCUGGGAAACUGCCUGAUGGAGGGGGAUAACUACUGGAAACGGUAGCUAAUACCGCAUGAUGUCUUCGGACCAAAGUGGGGGACCUUCGGGCCUCACGCCAUCAGAUGUGCCCAGAUGGGAUUAGCUAGUAGGUGGGGUAAUGGCUCACCUAGGCGACGAUCUCUAGCUGGUCUGAGAGGAUGACCAGCCACACUGGAACUGAGACACGGUCCAGACUCCUACGGGAGGCAGCAGUGGGGAAUAUUGCACAAUGGGCGCAAGCCUGAUGCAGCCAUGCCGCGUGUAUGAAGAAGGCCUUCGGGUUGUAAAGUACUUUCAGCGAGGAGGAAGGCAUUAAGGUUAAUAACCUUGGUGAUUGACGUUACUCGCAGAAGAAGCACCGGCUAACUCCGUGCCAGCAGCCGCGGUAAUACGGAGGGUGCAAGCGUUAAUCGGAAUUACUGGGCGUAAAGCGCACGCAGGCGGUUGAUUAAGUCAGAUGUGAAAUCCCCGAGCUUAACUUGGGAACUGCAUUUGAAACUGGUCAGCUAGAGUCUUGUAGAGGGGGGUAGAAUUCCAGGUGUAGCGGUGAAAUGCGUAUAGAUC